CUAACUAUUAUUAAAAAGUCAACGUGACGUAGGGGGCGAUUUAAUCUGUAUGAGCUGAUGAUUAAUUUUUCCUUUGGUAAACGUUGAUUUUUAGUCGCUAAGAAUGUCUGAAAAUGUAUUUUUAUUCGUACCAAAUGUUAUUGGUUACAUGAGAAUUGUUCUGGCAUUGGCUGCCUUUUAUUUCAUGACAACUAAUUAUGUGAUAACGUCAUUUUGUUAUCUGUUGAGUGGAUUACUUGAUGCUUUUGAUGGACAUGCAGCUCGACAUUACAAUCAAAGUACAAAAUUUGGAGCAAUGUUAGACCAAUUGACGGACCGGUUAGCCCUCAUGUGUUUCUGCAUUGGUCUUUCUGUGAUCUAUUCUGAAUACUACUUCUUGUUCCAGCUAAGCAGUGCUUUGGAUAUUGCUAGUCACUGGCUUCAUCUUCAUCAGUCAAAUUUGUCUGGAAGAUCAAGUCAUAAGUUGAUUGACCUCUCUGGUAACCCCAUCCUUCGCAUUUACUACACAUCAAAGCCAGUAUUAUUCAUCAUGUGCUGUGGUAAUGAGUUAUACUUUUGCAUGCUCUACCUUGUCUAUUUCACGGAAGGACCAAAAUUCCUGUUUGACAUGGGUCUGUUUCGCUUGUUGAUGUACAUCUCUCUGCCCAUCAUGUUAGUGAAGGCGCUCAUCAGCCUUGUGCACCUAAUUACUGCCUCCAAGAACAUGGUUGCCAUUGAUAUGGAGGAACGGAGUAAGUCAAAGUGAGGAAAACGUUUUUUUAGUGUAGAUAGUGCUGAUGAGGGAUUUUAAAUAUAAUGCUUCAAGCAUUAGGUAUUGAGUCACCCUCCUGUUUCAGUGUCUUUGCAUCUGCUUUCAACUUGUGUAUUUGUAUACAAUACGGUAGUAGUUCCUCAGCACUUUUUAGAUCAGAAUGCAAGGCUCUGUAUUUAUAUGGUGAGGUUUGGAAUUAGCAUUCCCAAGUAGGGGCAUGAGUCAGCCCCCUGUUUUAGCACGAGCAUCAAUUUUUAGCACUAAAUAUUUGAGGCAUAUCAUGGCAAAAUGGUUAAGUUGUCGUACAGCCAGUAUUGAGUAAAUGAGCUUUAAGAUAUGGGAGUUCAAAAAAUGGUCUAAAAAUCCAUAUAUUUUUUCACUAUAGAUCAACAUUUUAAUGUCUAAUUAAUCAUGUCCCAAAGUCUUGGUUUUGGAAAUGAUCAACAAAUUGUUUAUUUAUUGUUAUUUUUGUAGUUAAUUUUAUUAUAUACAAUGUAUGCACAAAUAACUUUGAAAGGCGAUUACUCAAAAUUGUACCUUGACUCCAAGAGUGCUGUACUUUCACUUCCCAAUAACUAUGGCUUGAAAUGUCCAAUUUCAAUGAAUGGCUCUCAUUUUCCAGAUUACAUACUGAAAAUAACCUGAAUUUUAAUUUUUUGCUACAACAUGCCUCAUUUAUUUUAUUAGUAUCCAAUUUACUGUUUUUGGUUAAUGAAGGAGCAAAAGUUGGAUAGUUGCUUUGAUUAGCAAUUUAUUAAGAAAUUUUAUGGGGCUUUUAUGAGUAGGAUUAAUGAUGGUUAAUUUAACAGUAUAAUAAAUACCAUUGACUUGUUUGCCACUUUAUCUUAAAGCAAAUAAAUUUGUCUUUUGAGUCAAGGUGAUAUUCUGGAGUACACACUUAAAAUAUAUUUUGGCUGGGGAAGUAUCGCUUCUCACCGUAUUUUACUGGACGUGGGUAAAUCUCAGAGGUCCCAAAUUGGUGAAGUGAAAUUUCUUGGGAAUAUAUCGUUAAUUGAAGUGAAAUAACUGAGUUAUUUUUUUGGUGUAUUACCUACAUGUAUGACAUGUUAAUUCAACGUGUGUCUUGCCAUUACCAAAAGCCAUUACAAAUAUUUUAACAGAAAUAGUAAUAGUUUGCUUUUUGUAAGUCCAAACAAUAGGAAAAAUAAGUCAUUUUCAUGUUUUAUUGAAUUUAGGUGGUGAUGCAAAGGCAUUAAGUUGUUUAAAUUAAGUAACCUAAUUAUUUGGAAGAGAAAAAUGUUGUUUAAUUAUUAAAAAAUAUGCACUUAUGAGCCAUUUUAGUAUUCACAAUGAAAAUUACAGUAUACAUUUUCUGGGGGAAAAUAAGGAAAAAUUCUGGGAAGCGGGGAAACGCCUUAAAAAUCUGCGAAACCCGCAAAUUUCUGGGAACUUGGGAUGUCUGAAAUCUCAACCAUUUUUUUUAUACAACCAACCUUUUGGAAAUUGGGCUCUCUUAAUAUUUAGAUUAGCUCUCCCCAACAGGGGAUCCUGGUCUUCGCCCCUAUUGGUGGCUCCUUUGUUUGUAUAAAACUUAACACAGUAGGAUUGACCAGUAGUCAGAUUCAAUUAAGCAUUGUAUCUGACUACAUAAUGUCUACGUAAAAAAAAUGAUUACAAAAGAAUUAUAUUAUUUUAAAAAAUUCCAAGUGUUUUUUUUUUUCAUAGAAUUUCUGAAUUCGAUAUUAUUAGUGAAAGAAAUUAAGCCUUUAUUAUUAUAUUUGGCACUUUUGACUAUUGUACAGCAUUGUUAUGUAUGUUUAGCAAAAUAGAAAGAAAAUUGUUUAGUAUAGUAGUACACUAAUAAAAAUUCAGCAUACCUUUCAAAUAAUAUUUAUUGCUUGUAAAAAUUAAACUGUUUAAAUAGUAUAUGGUGCUCAUGGGAUAUUGUAAUGAUGUUAUUACAUAUAUUAAGUACUGUAUGAAUAAAAUAUACUGCCUCACCCAAGGCACUAUCAAAAGAUAA